rnacentral:rRNA from 1 species
CUACGGGCCGCAGCAGUGAGGAAUAUUGCGCAAUGGGGGAAACCCUGACGCAGCGACGCCGCGUGGAUGAUGAAGGCCUUCGGGUCGUAAAAUCCUGUCAGAAGGAAAGAAGUGUAUGGUAGCUAAUAUCUGCCAUACUUGACGGUACCUUCAAAGGAAGCACCGGCUAACUCCGUGCCAGCAGCCGCGGUAAUACGGAGGGUGCAAGCGUUGUUCGGAAUUACUGGGCGUAAAGCGCGCGUAGGCGGUUUUAUAAGUCAGAUGUGAAAGUCCACGGCUCAACCAUGGAAGUGCAUUUGAAACUGUAAGACGUGAGUAUUGGAGGGGGUAGUGGAAUUCCCGGUGUAGAGGUGAAAUUCGUAGAUAUCGGGAGGAAUACCGGUGGCGAAGGCGACUAUCUGGCCAAAUACUGACGCUGAGGUGCGAAAGCGUGGGGAGCAAACAGGAUUAGAUACCCUAGUAGUC